CCGAUUGACUAAGGUUUCCAGAGGAAGGCUCGUCCGCUCUGGGUUAGUCGGGUCCUAAGCUGAGGCCGACAGGCGUAGGCGAUGGAUAACAGGUUGAUAUUCCUGUACCACCUAGUAUCGUUUUAAUCGAUGGGGGGACGCAGUAGGAUAGGCGAAGCGUGCUGUUGGAGUGCACGUCCAAGCAGUAAGGCUGAGUGUUAGGCAAAUCCGGCACUCGU
rnacentral:rRNA from 1 species